rnacentral:rRNA from 1 species
GAUGAACGCUGGCGGCGUGCUUAACACAUGCUAGUCGAACGAUGAAGCCCAGCUUGCUGGGUGGAUUAGUGGCGAACGGGUGAGUAACACGUGAGUAACCUGCCCUUAACUCUGGGAUAAGCCUGGGAAACUGGGUCUAAUACCGGAUAGGAGCGUCCACCGCAUGGUGGGUGUUGGAAAGAUUUAUCGGUUUUGGAUGGACUCGCGGCCUAUCAGCUUGUUGGUGAGGUAAUGGCUCACCAAGGCGACGACGGGUAGCCGGCCUGAGAGGGUGACCGGCCACACUGGGACUGAGACACGGCCCAGACUCCUACGGGAGGCAGCAGUGGGGAAUAUUGCACAAUGGGCGCAAGCCUGAUGCAGCGACGCCGCGUGAGGGAUGACGGCCUUCGGGUUGUAAACCUCUUUCAGUAGGGAAGAAGCGAAAGUGACGGUACCUGCAGAAGAAGCACCGGCUAACUACGUG